ensembl:lncRNA uncharacterized LOC115003995
GUGAAGUCAUGUCACGUUUACUGAAGGAAAUAAGAUCAUAUCGACACAGCAGCAGCUCGUGUGUUUGAAGGGGCAGGUUUACACACCGACUCGGACAUUCGGUCAGUGACUCGAGAAGAACUGCACGAGCUAUUUCCUGAAUCAAAGAAUAUCAAGCGGAGAAGGACUAUCUUUGACCUAAUACACAAACAGGUGAGAUUUAAAUAGAGAUGACGUGGAUGUAAACUAGUCACUAGUCAAAUGCUCUAUUGAAAUAAUUAUGUAAUAUAAUAUUUCUCUUUCAGAAGCCAGUUGAACAGCUCCUAAGAGAAGUAAGAGAGUUCAUCCCAGAUGACAAUUUCAAGGGUAUGUAUUAUGUAAAGCCUUGCUAACAGUGACUUUCACUUUCACAUUAUCUUGUUUUUUUGGACCAUGGCUGUGGAGGAAAUGUAUGUUACUGUGUUUAUGUUGUCAUUCAGAUUUUAACACACACAACCUCAUUCUCUCUCUCUCUCUCCAGCGGCUCUAACUGACAAUGGAGUCCUGGUUAAUUACCUCAGUAUCCUGAAGGACAUGAAGACCCAAAUGAAUAAUAUCCAGAGUUUCCUUGAUGCUCACAUCAAUGUUCUGGAAGAAUUUAGAUGGAAUCAGCCCAAUCAGGAAUCUGCUCUCUGUAUUUCAAUGAAACCCCACGAUGACGGCCAAAACUCAUACACAAGUACUUCAUCCACCAGUGGUCAAAUGGAGGUCUACAAUCCCCAUCAGGCACAAGCAGCCCCAUUAAAGGAACCUAAAAGUUGUCCUCCCAGCCAUCUGACUACCCAAUCAAGCUUUUGUGGCAGGAGAUCUGACAUCGAUGUUGAAUUCGUUCACUUCGAAUCCUUCACCCAUUUGUCUCCACAUGACGCCACCGUGAUGUACCGUAUGGUUGUCAGCGGUCAAACCUUUGGUGCACAUCAACAGCUGAUGGACAAAUUCAAGAAUCAGGAUCAGUUUAUACUUACUGAAGACACAAACAACUACGAGAUCACUUUUGUCUUCUGCCCAAUCAGUUCACGCAUUCAGUCAGAUGUUGACGCAGCCAUGAGUAAUGUUAAAGAUGAUAAACCUGUCAUUCUGGUGUUGAUGCACCACACACGUGAGGCCAAGAUCAUGACAUAUAUGAAAACAUAUGACGCUAAAGUUCAGUUGCAUGUCAACGUUUUCUACCAUGAGACGAAACGUGGAUUAAUUCCGUGUUAUGAAAAUAGGGCUGCUGUGACCGAUAUACAAAGAGUACUAUGGGGCUUCAUUAAGAAGAGUUAAGAGGAAAUGAUGACGGUGUGAUGGACAUCUAGUUGUCCUGUGAGGUGGUGGUGGUAACAACAUCAGUCGUUCUGGUUUUCUUUAGCUUGGUUAUUAGAAUUAGCUCUGUUGAUGGUGGCAACGAUGGUAUUAUUUCCGUUCACACAAGUAAACAAUAUGUAAUGGAUCAUAAACAGCAAAAAUAAAACAGGCAACAUUUGAUUGAUUUAGACCAAUAACUGAUUUACAUGAAAAUGAGAUCAGCUACUGAUUGUGGUCUAAUGAUGUCAGUAUUAAUGGGUGUAAACAGCUAAACAAAAAGUUGUUUGCUUAUUUCCUGCUUAUGAAUUUCUAAAGCUCUUAUAACCCUAACUCAUUAGACUAAUAUUGUAAUAAAAUGCAUUUCCUAUAAUCAAAUGUAUAAUCCAGUGUUCUCCAGUUGCUAUUGUUGUUUCUGUAUAGACGUAUUAAGACUUGAAUGUACCGUGAGUUUAAAGAGUGCCACAAAGCUCAGUAACUGGCCAAAGGAUGACCUUUGAGAAUAAAGUAUAUCAGAAAUCACAUGGUUGAGAGAUUAUAUCUGCAUGUUUUACACCCUUUCACCAACAGGUGGUUUUGUGUGCACAUGAAGACUUGCUGGAAAGCUUCAACGCUUCAAGAAGCUUCCUCUCGCCAUCACUACUUAUUGUAAAGUUAUUUUGCGUGAUAUGUUAUGUAAGGUGUGAGGAUUAAUAUACCUAAUAUUUUCAAUAAACUGCAAUAAUGGGUGCAAUCAUAUUGUCUGUGAUCCUUUUUUUGCUGGCAUAAUAAAUAUAUAUAUAUAUAUAUAUUUAAGC